AUUGAACGCUGGCGGCAGGCCUAACACAUGCAAGUCGAGCGGAUGAAGGGAGCUUGCUCCUGGAUUCAGCGGCGGACGGGUGAGUAAUGCCUAGGAAUCUGCCUGGUAGUGGGGGAUAACGUCCGGACACGGGCGCUAAUACCGCAUACGUCCUGAGGGAGAAAGUGGGGGAUCUUCGGACCUCACGCUAUCAGAUGAGCCUAGGUCGGAUUAGCUAGUUGGUGGGGUAAAGGCCUACCAAGGCGACGAUCCGUAACUGGUCUGAGAGGAUGAUCAGUCACACUGGAACUGAGACACGGUCCAGACUCCUACGGGAGGCAGCAGUGGGGAAUAUUGGACAAAGGGCGAAAGCCUGAUCCAGCCAUGCCGCGUGUGUGAAGAAGGUCUUCGGAUUGUAAAGCACUUUAAGUUGGGAGGAAGGGCAGUAAGUUAAUACCUGGCUGUUUUGACGUUACCAACAGAAUAAGCACCGGCUAACUUCGUG
rnacentral:rRNA from 1 species